GAUGAACGCUGGCGGCGUGCCUAAUACAUGCAAGUCGAGCGAACGGACGAGAAGCUUGCUUCUCUGAUGUUAGCGGCGGACGGGUGAGUAACACGUGGAUAACCUACCUAUAAGACUGGGAUAACUUCGGGAAACCGGAGCUAAUACCGGAUAAUCUUUUGAACCGCAUGGUUCAAAAGUGAAAGACGGUCUUGCUUUCACUUAUAGAUGGAUCCGCGCUGCAUUAGCUAGUUGGUGAGGUAACGGCUUACCAAGGCAACGAUGCAUAGCCGACCUGAGAGGGUGAUCGGCCACACUGGAACUGAGACACGGUCCAGACUCCUACGGGAGGCAGCAGUAGGGAAUCUUGCGCAAUGGGCGAAAGCCUGACGGAGCAACGCCGCGUGAGUGAUGAAGGUCUUCGGAUCGUAAAACUCUGUUAUUAGGGAAGAACAUAUGUGUAAGUAACUGUGCACAUCUUGACGGUACCUAAUCAGAAAGCCACGGCUAACUACGUG
rnacentral:rRNA from 1 species